rnacentral:lncRNA from 1 species
CUGCUGCUUAUCUUCUGUCACUGUGUCAGCUGGGACAGCCACGCAGGUGCCCCUUUCUAUCACGGAGAUAAAAGCUGUGACACAGCCUGGCAGAGCCCAGGAGCUGCUCCCAACCUCUCAUCCCAUCCUCGUGCCCUCCAUCAGAAAACUACAGCCCGAGGAAGCGGCUCGGAGGCAUCUUGAAGACUUGGAUCUGGUUCCUGGCCUCGCGGAAUGAGAAUCCGGAGACUGUGCUCACAUUUCCAUGGCUGGGGGUGAUCUCCGUUCUGUGGCAGGAGCCUGGAGCCCGGGGAUUGAAGAGCUCUGCUCCUCGGCUUGUGAGACAGAAUGACCGCAGGUGCUGAGAGAGAGCAGGAAAUCAUCUUUGUAAAGCUGUCCAGAAAGCCUUGAAUUCAGCCUUAUCUGGAGGAUUACCCCACGCAGUUCAGUUCUUGGCAUUCAGCUCCUCUGCAGUCCCCAGCUUCAGCACAGGAAACUCCUUCACCUAGCUGCUGCCAGCAUGCUUUUGGCGACCCUGGCUGUCCCGUCAGCUGUUACAGGCCAUUAAAGGAUUUGUUUCUCGGCGUAUGAAAAGGCUUAAUUCAAUUCUCAUUCUCUUCUGGCAUUCCUCGGAGAGCCUUCUAGGCUGUCAUCUACUUCUGGCUUCGCUCAGACUCUGCAGUCCAAAGAGUCAUGUGCAGUGACCCGCCACCAUCCCUGCUUCAGACUCCAGAGUCAGGUAGUUAGAUGAUUCCCUUUCAUGUAAGUACUUUUUUAUCUUUCUUAUCUGUGGAGGGAAGCCAGCACAAGUCAUCUUUGAAGGUAAGGAAAAUGGAACCAAUGUUUUGUAUCCCAGAAAUCUCAUUAUUUUCCAACUAAUCUGCUGACCUCGAAUGCAGGGGUUUGGCAGUUUCUUUAAGGGCUGUUGCUAAACAGAGCAGAAGCAGGUCCAUCUUGGGAAAGUCUGCAUGGGUACAAUAUGAAUUUUCUGUAAGGUGAAUUCUUUGGGCUGUGUCAGAAUGAGACACUGUGGGUGACUUGCCUUUGUCUCAAGCUUGAUGGUAGUUGCCUUUGUCUCAAGCUUGAUGGUAGAUUUCACAAGAGGAAAAAAGUGUGUUUAAGAAGUUACUUGAUGCUGAUCUGUCCAGAGUUUUUUUCCCAGGCUGGAUUUAGGGAAGGAUUAUCUCAGAUUUUCAUUUAGUUCUGAAAUCCUGGGUAUUGGUUUUAUAAACUAAACCCCCUUCGCAGCAGGUUGCUUGUUCUGUAUUGUUGUUUUAGCUUGGUGCAUAGAAAGGAAUUUAAAUUCACUGACAGGGUGGGGCUAGCUCCUCGCUGGGGUAAAUCAGCAUAGUUCAGAUAUUUAAAGGCAGAUGCAUCAGUCCUGGCAGCCGAGGAUCUGGCUUACUUUGAUUAAAAUCUGAUGAAGAUUACUCAGCCUUACCAAGGGACUUGGAUUACCAUUCUAUAAAAAGAAGGGCAGGAGAGCAGAGGACAUUAAAUAUAAAAAUAAUCCAACGAAGGAUGUGAAGCUAAAAGCGUGGCACGUUGAACAAUGAUGCAAACACCCUACUGAAACAGGUGGAGGGCCGCAGGGCUGGUGGGUGCACGCAAGGCUGGAAGCUAGGUUUGAGUCAGAAAGACAUUGCUCUUGUCACAGCCCUGGUCUUGUCUUUUAAAGGCAGAAUGUUCAGAAAGAGAGCCUCGCUCCUUAGAAAAUCCCCAGGGGAGUCUUGCAGGAGAAGAAGUGGGUGACAAAUCCUCUGCCUCUGCUUCCUCGGGGACCCAGGCUAGUGCCAAAUCUCACUACAAAGAGGUGAUUAGAGCUGAGGAACAGAAAGUCAGCUCUUACAGAUCUGAAAGCUUGAAAUGUGCAUCAUCUUUAGGGUUUCUUACAGAGGUUGAACUUCACCUCUCCCUUCUAUCGCAGCGUUCGUUUUCCUGGUUCUUUGUUCCUUUGAAAGCAUGAAGUGUAUUUAGGGGCUGUUAUUACUCCAUGUGAUUGUGCUCCAUGGGCAAUGACCGAUAGAAGGGCUGCAAUGAGCCCCUUUUUUUUUUGGCCUUUUAAACGUUUCUGUCAAACCUUUCAGCACAUGUCUAGCUUUCCCAAGAUUUCGUAUCCAGUCCCUUAAAAUCAAUACAAUCUGGUCUUGCCUCUGCAGUGGAGCUAUUGAUAGGGAAGAUGCACUUGGGUCUUCAUCUAACUGCUUUUUGAAGCCCCUAAACCCAUUUGUCUCUUCUUUUGAUGGAGCUUGCUGCCUUGCUCAAUGGCUUGCUUGCAUAGGAAGCACCUUCCUUGCUGACCUCUGUUAAAAACGUGGAAGGUCUUCAAGUAGAGUUGCAGGACUUGUGAUUUGAGUGUCCUUCUUUACCCAGACCAAGGAGAACAGAGUGCAUGGUGCGUUGGCUGGUCUGGAAUCUGUCUAGGGUGGCUGGAAGAUGCUUUAAUGGUGUCAGAAGGCUGCGGGAGCCUGGACAGUGAGGUUGAGCGGCCUUAAGAACGUUGCUGACUUAAACUGACGCAUCUAAAUGCGCUGGAGGAAAGACGAGAGGGCUGUUUGGGGACCUCCUGGGUGAUUACAUACAUGGCUGGUCAGCGACAUCGCCUGAGUGCCCCGGCAGCUAUGCCAGUCUUCCAGUUUUCUUUCAUUGCAGUUCGGGUCGGAUGAGGAUAAGAUUGUGUUUUAAUAAGUGUUUGUUAGGGAGUGCUUCCCCCCCCGCCUCCCACCCGCAUGAAACUGUUUAUUUUCCUUGCAGUAACACGUGUGUUGCUCAGCUUCUGCUGUUCCAUGUGUCGUGCUCUGUUACUCUGCCUUGCUCGCAGCCGCAGAGCAGGGGGAACACUGCCAAGGCUUUUUCUGGGAAUUUGCUCUGGUCGUGCUGCUUCCCCGGGAGCACUCAGCGGAUGCAUGUUGUUUGCAGGGGGGGGGAACACUCAAAUGUCAGCAUCUGAAGGGAUCACGAAGGAAGCAAGGCGAGCACCAACUACUCUUCCACCUCUCAGAGGUGCCUGCAUACACACAGCCUUGAUACAACCCUGCUGCAGAUUAUAGACGUGUUUUGGUUGAGAUUCUCUGUGCUUGAUGCAUUGUCUGCCUGCAACGCAGGGCAAACUCUACUCCUCCCUUCUGGCCCGGCCUGUAAUGAUGGAUUAAGUAGAGUCUGCCCUCAGAAUUCAGGUCCUUGUCCAGGACUCUGGGAACCUGCCUGCGUGUGAUUGACGGCAUCACGUGAGCGUGUAUGGGGCUGCAUCUCAUGCUGUCGGGUCAGAGAUUACCUCCAAGCAGCCAAUACUCAACAUUCAGUCAGAAAAGAUGCAAAGAAGCAGAGCCAUUCCCCUCUCUGUGUCAUCUGCCUCUGAGAGUGGGAGAGUGCUGGCAGAGCGCUACCGGGUCUGUACUGGUAUAGAGAGGAAGGCUCAGAUUUGAUGAUUUGUCCAUUAUCUGGUGGUGGAUACAGCCUAACCUGGGCUCAGAGCAUCCCAAGGUCUGUAUCCUAGUGCAGGAACUGGCUGCUGCUGCUCUCUUCUGAAUAGACAGCUUUCUCCAGCCUCACAGCAUGCUAAUGUAGGCCAGUCACCUUCACCACAACUCCUGGCGCAAGAUAUUCAGCAGACUUGAUGCUUCAUAGUAGGCUGAAUCUGGUAUAACCAAGGCAGAAUUUCUACCUGCCAGUAGUGAAGUAAUGCCCUGUGAUUUCAAGUGACCACUGGUUUGACAGCAGUAGUGAAAGGGAAAGGCAUGAAUAGGCCGGAUAUCAGGAAAACCUUCUCAGGAGUGAUGAGGCUGUGAAAUGGACUGCCCAGGGAGGUGGUGGAGUCACUGUCCCUGGAGGUGUUCAAGAACUGUGGAGACGUGGCACUGAGGGACGUGGUUUAGUGAGCAAUAAUGGUUGAUGGGUGGACAGCUGGAUUAGAUGGGUCCGACUAGAGGUCCUCCAAUUAGAGGUCUUUUCCAGUCUAAAUGAUUCUAUGAAAGCAGUCGACCGUUUUCUUGCAGUCUCUGAGGAGCUUGGAUAUGGUGUCUGAAACGAGCUAAGGAAGCCACCUAAUCUCUGAGCACAUCCACCUUCUGCAGCAUACACCCUUCCAGCCACAAAGAGGUCCUGAGUCCCUCAGUGGCUGCAAAGAACAGCAGGUAGAUGGAGCAGACAGAGAUGGAGAGCAUUCUUUUGUUGCUUUUUUUUUGGGGGGGGGAGUAUCGUUGAAGAAUCAGGGUGACAAAAAUAUUUUGAUGGAAGUGACUAUGUGAAAUAUCUUUUCAUUUUGAUUAUUUGAAAAACAAAAACUGUUCAUGGGUUUUAAAAUUCAUGUCCCCUCCGGGUUGCUUUGUUUUGUUUUGUUUCUUAUUCCUUCUCCCUUAUUCCUCAGAGGAAGCCAUCCAAACCUACACGGUGCGUCAUUUCUUGAGGAAAUGCAGUGUGAUCUUUUUUUCCAGUUUAACCUGGGCUGAAAAAUCUUCUGGUGUUUCAUUUGCCUGAGAAAUCAGAAAAAAAAAGCUUGGAUGAAACAGGAAUCUGACUGGUUCACAGGGAACCUUCUUGGUUUUGGAGACCCAUUUGGGUGGGGUAGCUGCAGGAGCUCUUUGCUGUGCAGGUUGGGGAGGAGGUGAUGCCAUCUUUGCCUGGGCCAUACUUUGUGCCCAAUGCCUUCUCCAGGGGUGAGGGGCAUAAGGGGUGCAGAGCUGUGUCUUGGUUGCAGCAGGGAACUGCUACCACUGAAGUAUGAUUCUCAGCUUUCUGGAGUUGUGGAAAACAUCUGGACAAUGGUUGAAAUUGGAAGAGCGAAGGGCUAUCCUGGCUUUUGAGGGCAUAUCAUGGGAUGUCCCGCAGGUGGCUUGUUGGAGGUGAACCACAGAGGGAGGACUGCACUGGAGAGGCAUAGAGGCUCACAUGGGACGGGAGUGGUGGCAACUGCCUGUAUGCCUGAAAGCAGGGCAAGCAGUGGGCUGGGGGUGGAGGAGACCACCUCCGCCUGUUGCUGCCAUCUCCACGAGCUGCCAGCUCUGCCGUGUAGCUUUGCCCAGAUCUGCAGUAGAGCUGCUCAUCCCCAGCCCUGCCAUCCCUGUGCCCCACAUGCUGCCUCUCCUAUAAAUAGCCGGAUGGGAAGCAGAGCGCAGAGCCGCCGCAGAUGGCCCCCAGUUCCACGCGCACUCAUGUGUGAGAUCCCAGAGAGGGGCUGUCAAUUCCUUGCCUACAGCCACCCAUGCAACCUCAUUAAGGAUGGUGUCGUCUUCCUUAACCCCCAUCGCCCCCUCCCUCCCCACUUCAACGUGCCUCCAUUUGAGCACCCUUAUUAAACGUGCACUUCUAAGCAAGGAGCGCUGACUUCCCCUUAAUUGAGGCAUAAUAAUUAGAGCAUUAACACAUUAGGAGAGUGAGACAGCAUGUUUAGCUUUUGUGAUUAAUUAUCUGAGGAUUGUAAUAAGUUGUUAAGACAUUAAUUACUCUGGCAUGUUUAUUGCUCUUUAUUGCAGAACUGACACUUGGUGGAAGAGUUGCUGGUGUGCCUGGCGGUGCACCGUGAGGUGGGCUGGCCAGGGGAGACCUCUGCUCCCCCAUAGACACUGAGCUGCUGCUUGGGAAUGGAUCUAGGGGAGCAGAAACAGCUCCUGAACCUCCAGCAGGACACCUCGGGAUGGAAGUGGUGUCUGAAUCUCUUAGAGUCGUAGGAUUAUGAAGGUUGGAAUAAAACACUGAGAGCAUCAGCCCAUCCCCACCGUGCCCACUAAACCAUGUCCCUCAAUGCCGCGUUCUCCCUCAUCUUGGGGCAGCCUGGGAGCUGGAAGGCUUAUUUUUAUGGAUGGUUUCAGCUGGAUUUCUCUCUUCUUUCAAACAAAGUGUUUCCUCUCGGAUGGUUUGAGCCUGCCCUCAUUUGGAUCUUUGUUUUUGCAAAUCCAAGUCAGCGUGGCUCAUUGUGCCUGGAUCUGAGGAGGAUGGCUGUCUGUUAACGACAAGCUGAAGUUCAGCGUGUCGGCGGUGGUCAGGGAGUGAACCAGGACCCCAGUGGCCUCGCUUGGCUCUUGAUCAGAUGAAUUUUCUUCUGGAGAGCUGGGAGGUGGGUUAGGGAAGGCUGUUGCUGUGGCAGCAGGAGUGGAUCAGCCCUCUGCAGCCUGUUCUUCACACAGCAAGCUGCUCAGCGACCUGUCAGAGCUGUGCUGAUCAGAUGGGGGCUGAAGGCAGAGUUCAGAGCAGGAGGAUGGGUGGGUCCAUGUGCUGCUGUGACAGAGAAAAAAGGAAGCAGGAGGCUGCGAUGGGCCUGUUCCAGCCUUCUGCUUUUCCCAUGAGUUGCACAGUGCCAGAGUCUUGCUGUCCAGCUCUUUGGGUGGGGGACAGCACAGGAGAAAUGGGGGGAAAUGGAGUAACAGCCCCAGCCACUGGCAUGGAGAAUAAAACUGGGAAAAUGGUGAAAGUCGAGAAGGUGAGAAAGCUGUGAGUUUUGUGUGUUUGCUGUUGGUUUGAUAUUGGAUGGCCCCAUCCCUGCCGACAGCCAAGGUCAGGCUGGAUGGGCUCUGAGCACCACUAGGGCUGUGAGUGUCCCUGCUCAGUGCAGGAGGGUUGGACCAGAUGGCCUCUGAGGGUCCUUUCCAGCUCAAAACGAUGCUGUGGUUCCUUGGGGAGCCCUAGAGCUGAAAUGUCUGGUUUCCAGCCUAUGGCAGUGCCCUUGUGGCUUUGCAACACGUGCUUGUGUCUUGGGGUAGCAGCCAAGGGAGUGGGAGGGGGUCUUUAAACGUGAAGACCCUGUCCGGUUCGCCUUUCCCAAGGACAGACUGUCUCACUGUGGCUCCCACCAGCUCAAUCUGCUGUCACUGUGUCACUGGCACUGGUGGCCAGGGAGCUGCACAAGGCACUGAAUGCCCUCCUCGUGUGCGAGCUGGGAUCCAUCUUGUGUCAGCUGCCUUCAGCACCUCCGAGCCCACACUGCCUUGCUGAAGCCCAGCCUGAAUAUGGCAUUUGCUGUCAGGUGGCUGAUUUCUGCCUGCAGAAUAUGGAGAGCGUCAGCCUGGCAUUUCCCACUUGCCUCCUAGGGACAAAGCAGGUCAUGACUUCCGUGUAUUAUCAUUAAAAAGAUAAUUUCCUCUAGAUGUGUGCAAUAAGACAAUGGUGCUGACCUGUGAUCCUGGCAUUGCACAGCAUUAAUGAUUUCCCUUUGCAGGUAAUAAGCAGCAAAUGUACACAUUUUGGGGAGAUCUGAAUUAGUUUUUUUCCCUCCUUUUAAGACUGCUGUCUUCCUAGGCCAGACUUAAUUAGCAGACCUCAUUAUUUCCUGAAAUGUAACUUGACUUCCAUUGAAUGAGAAUUGUUCAGUGGAUGGGGAGCAGCAGAGCGGUGCUGCAAUAUUCAUAUUGUUUAAAUUGCAACAUUAACAUUUCAUGCCGCUCUUGGCAUAUUUUCAGGUGCGGCCCUUUAGCUCAAUGCAGUGCUGUGAAAGGUUGGAUCAGAACAAUUAGGAUACAGCGACUGGAUUUCUGGAUUAUUAUUAUUAUUAUUUUUUUUUUAAGCAACACAAGCUUAGAUUCAAUGCCCAUCACUCUAUUUGUUUGGCAGAACAGGGAUUCCAGCGCCCCUGAAGUAAAUGCUUUUCUGGAAUAAAGGAUGUGCUGUAGCACAUGCUCACCUCCUCUCUUAGCAGAGAUGAAGCCCUGCAGGUACAUGCAGUACGUGAUUCGCAGGGCUGGAAGCACCUCCUGGGACUUGACCUUCACUAGCUAAAUAGGAGAACUCCCAAUAAUGCUUCUGGCCACCUAGGCCACAGUCGCACACAAAAAGGCUGUUUCCCACUUUGCCCUUGUUCUUGGAUGCCUCAGGCUGGAGGUGGCACUGUAGUAAUGCCCAGGUCCAAGCGGAUCCUACAUGAGCACGUGGAUUGCACUCCCUAUCUCCAAACAGCCCGUGGGCCUUGGUCCUGCACAGGGGCUCCAGUGACCUUUGCUGCCUUGCCCCAUAGUGUGCUUUCCAGUAGUUUUUCCUGUACUGGAGUUCAGUGUCAAUGAUGGGAGUUAAUGUCAAGGAAUCAUAGAAUACCUGGGUUAGAAGGAACCUUAAAGCCCACCCAGUCCCAACCCUACAGUGGGCUGGCUGCCCCUCCCCCACCAGCUUAGGCUGCCCAAGGCCCAAUCCAGCCUUCCUCGAGCACCUCCAAGGAUGGGACACACGUCUGGGAUUGCCAUGAACCAAGUGCAACACCUUGAAUUUGGCCUUGGCAGUGUCAAGAACAACUCCAGCUUCCACCCUGGAACAACUUAGUUAGGGUCUCUGACUUCAGCCAACCAUGCCUCCCAUUUGUAACGUGUGCAGUGGGAUCCAUGACAUCUUAUCUCCCAUGGAUACGUAGCUUGGGUCAGGGUUCUCUGGUAUCUGGUAAGCUGCUUGUGCUGAACGGAACACCUCCUCUCGUGGGUUAUUUAUAACAUCCUGCUCUCCCACGCAGAUUGUCUGGUGUCUAAUAGUGGAUGAUGCACUACAGUUUGCAAGGUGCUAAUAAUCUCUCUCCUCUGUUUGACAGUCUGUUCCCAUGAGAUUUAUAGACUCUGACUGUCCCUGAGACCUCUGCCUCUCUGUCAGAUCAGGCUGAAAUCUGUUCUCAGUGUCAGAAGCUGCUGCCAAGCAGGCAGGGGAUGGACUGAUGCGUGUGUUUUGCAUCCCAUAAGAACUCAAGCACAGACCUGGGGGGCGAUGGGAGCUCUGAUUGCCAACUUGUGGGUUCAGGAAGGUGAGCCUCCAGGAGAAGGGCCGUGCCCGCAGCCAUCCUGCAUGAGAUGCCGUGCUGCGGGAUGCUCACGGGCUGCACUUCGUGUUCCCAUCGCCUGCGGUGACCAUCACAAGCGGCGCAGCCCCUGUGGGAACGGCCCCUGAGGACAAUAAACGAGCCAGCCCCGAGCUCCAGGCUGCUGUGAAGAAUUGCCUGGCUAAAGGAUAAUGAAUACCGCAGCAGGAGACGGAGCGUUUCUCCGAGGCCAUCCAUCCCCUUUAUCACCCCGCUAACAAGCCCCUGAGCGACUUCAGAGAGGCUUCUGCAGAGCAGCUCAAUCCCUCACCGUGCUGGCGGCUGGGUGCUGGGGGCUCUGCGGGAAGCCACAGCCCCAUCCCACAGAGCAACCACCAGUGCCCUCCAGGGGUCCGUGUAGUGCCAAGGAGGGGCAGAAGAGCCAGGCAUCCUUUUUUUUUCCAAGGCACUUUUGGGCCCUGCAGCACUCUUUGGAGCAUUGCUUUACCCAGCUCCCAGUCUGGCAAAGAUUUCUGAGGUCUGUGCGAGGCUCAGGAGGAGUUUAGUGCUGCUGGCCAGGAGGUUUAUCUAUAGGAGGAUGCAUCUAGCACGGUCCCUGCAAGAACUUCACAUCCAGUGCUGGAGGAGGAGAAGGGAAAGCAAACAGUGUUGGGUGUUCUCAUCAAUAUAGGUGGCUGGGGGGGUGCGAGGGGGGGCAGAAAGCAGGAGAAAAGCUGAAAGCCCUUCAGGAAGGUGUAUAGAGCACAGUGAUGGGCAAUUAGGUUGUUCCAGGAAGGACAGAAGUAGCAGAGAGCAGUGAGCUGAGUCUGAGGAGCUCUCUGAUACUCAGCAUCAGCUUCGACUGAGGUCGCUGGGUAGGGCUGGUUGUGUUUAAUGCCUCAGUUUCCCCACGGGAGGGUUCAUUUACAGCCUGAAAACAUCUGGCACUUUUCCUCCUUUGGCCAGCACUGUUAUGUGUUGAAUUGAAGGGAAACGCAAUGCAUCACCCUCCUCAUGGGCUGCCACUCUGCCAAGAGUAGCGGAGAUUGGCCUUCCAUCAUGGGGGGCUGAGGUGGAAGGGACCUCCCGGAGCAUGCAGCGGAGAAAUACUGUCAUUAGCUGAGGAAGACCUGGCAGAGAUGGAGUGCUCCUUCACCUUGCCCGCCAGACCUCUGCCCUGCUUGCUGCUAACAGGACAGGGAAAUGCUAACUGUGCCAGCUGCAGUGCUUGGAGUGCUGUCUGCAUCCAGAUGUGAGAAACAGCUGGGACAGCAAGGCUUUUACAGCCUGGUGGGGGUGGCUUUGGUCUUUUUGCUGCCUAUCAACAAGCCCUUGCUGUUGGGAUCAAAGAAUGUUUCUCCAUACUUACAGUCAAUGGGUGCUGGAUGAUCCCCAGAGGUCCCUUCCAACCCCUACAAUUCCGUGGGUCUGUGAUGUCCCUGGCCAUGAAGGUCCCAGGAUGCAGGAGGUCUGCCUCCUGUACUUACCAGUGUAACAGGGCAGCCUUCGGGGUGGUGUAGGUUUGAAGGAUGCCUCACCUGCUCCUGUCUCACAGGUUGUAGGGAAAUCAUUUUAAUUAGCGUGACACGUCCCUUUGUGGGCAAAAAAAAAAGAAAGAAAAGAAGGAAAGCCAAUAGAAACUCCGGCCAUUCGGGGUAUUUUUAGUUCUUUGCGAAGGACUGUUAACAUCUCUCUCAGCUCCCUGAAGACUGCUUUGGCUCUGCAGUUGCCUGCGGUGCUGUGCUGACGCCAGCACACCCUGCAUGAAGGUAAGCCAGCCCCCGGGGCUGCGGUUCUGGAGAGCCUCGUUGCCCCAUCCUUGCUCUCGGGAUGCCCACCAGGCACAGCUCUCAGAGAAGGGGUGAGAAGCUCAGACGUAGAGUUCCCACACUGAGGCAUCUCCCCCCCUCCUUCCCUUUCUGAGCUGAGAGCAGCAAAAUUAAAGUAAAACUCGGCUCCUGAGCCUGAACCCUUCACCUGGCUUGUUUUCCCUUUUUUUUUUUUUCUCUGACCAUUUCGGUUGGCUGAGUGUCAUUGCCAGCCUAUUGCUUAUGGAGGGAAGGAGACCUGAGAGAGGAUAAAUCUGGAGGCAAUGAGGUUGGAGGGAGGCAAGUCAUCUGCUCUGACACUUUUAUAGUGGAGCGAGGCUGCUUGGGAGUGAAUCUUCCUUGCAGCAUAUGCUGUGGGAUGACGUUGCUUCCAGGGGUGGCAGUAGCCCUCCCCAAGCCUUGCUGCCCAGCCCUGUGUUCUUCCCUUGGGGCUGGGAAUGCCCUGGGCUGCAGGACCACUGGGUGGGUUCUUGGCUUUGGCCAUCAUUCCCUUUAUGGGUAUUUCAGGCUUUCAGCGCUCUGAAUGAAGGCAAAACUGUUGGGAUGUCUCAGAUGUGCCUGGUUUUGCCACCAGAAGAAGCCUUUUAUGACUUCAGCCAACGGACACAGGCAUUGUUUUGGACAUGAUGGAGCUGUUGGCUUGAGUGCGUUUCUUGUUUUGGAAAUGCAGAGGGCGCAACAGGAAUCACAGUGAAAUCCUCCUCUAAGUUGCCCAGGAGAGUGGGUGGCCUCAAGGAAAGGUUACCCCCAGCCCUAGGAAGGCAGUUCUGCAUGCUCAGUAGCGUGGUGAGGAGCUGAUGGCCAUGUUCCGUGCAAGGGUGGGAGCCAGGGGAGAUUCCAGGUUACACUGCACUCCCUGCUCCUUUCCAAUAUCACUGUCAACUUGGAUUUCACAUGGUGGUGGUGAUGCUGUGGCUGGCGUGACUGUAACAGAAUGUCACUGGGAGAGGUGAUGUUUUUCCCCCCAUAGGGGUACUUCUUCCUUUCCCUUCCCUCUGGCUUACAUGACAAACUUCAGACUCCCAGUGCCAACAUCUGUGUUGCCCAAGGGCCACCACACACAGCACUGGGCAUUGCUUUGUGCUGUGUCAGUGAGCAGCUCUGUGUCACCGGUGACACUCCAACACUAAGGGUUGAGUGGGUGACCAGAGGGUGACAUGUGUCACUGAGACAAAUCAGGGCAGUCGAGAGCUGCCGUGUUUGCCAUCAAGAGGAACAAUCCCUUACCAUACUAGCACCUUCCUACAGCAGCAUCCUGCUAAACCUGCCGGGCCAUCAGGCCCCAACCUGAGGUAAAUCUGGGUCUGACAGAUGGACAGACGUGUGAUGAUGGUUAAGGCUCUCCGUGGGCUGUCUUGCCUCCUCUAAGCAGGAGCUAUCAGGAAGGGAGUGUUUGGCAUGCUCAGCAGCCCCAUUGCCAACCUGCUGUCCUCAGGGGCAACUUCAGCAAAGCCCCUGUGCUGCUCUGUGUCCAGCUUUCAUCUUCCAGCUGGGUAUGGAGGAAGGCAGGAAUGUGUCUGCUGCUGCCAGGCUGUGCUGGAAAAUGUAGGCAGGGGACGCCUAUAUGCGUGCUUCAGGAUCCAAGAUCUUCAUCUGGUGCUUGUUCUCUAUUAGCCCCAAUCCCCUCUUGCAUCUUUUCCAGCUGAUGCCUGAGCUCGUUUUUGUUUUGUUUCCCUUUCUCCCUCACCUUAUGAAAAAUGGCUUUGCCAUCUGCAUCUGUCAGGAGUCUGUGGAGCCGGGCCCACGGCUCAGUGAGUCUACAAACGUGUGGUUGGAUUGUGGGCCCCACUGACAGGCUGGAGCCGAAUACCAAUGUGCAGGAGGAUGAGUGCACUCCCUUCUCUGCUGCUGGUGCCUCUGCUGGUUGUUUUUUUUUCCUAUCCAACGGAGGUGUGAGAAUUGCCUCUGGGAGCAAUGCUUCCUUCUGCUCCUGUUCCGCCUUGCCAAGGUUAGGUUCUCUGUUAUCCAUCAUCAGAUGAGGCCUCGCCUCACUCCUGCAUCUCAGCUGCUGAUGGGAGGGCUGGGGAAGGGGAAAUGUUCCACUCUGCCUCCCCGGCCAUCCCUUCCCCUCUCUUUUUGCAUCUCACCCACAGGUGCAGUGCAAGGCAGCAGGUAGGCUCGGGCCCAAGGACACUUAGAAUCACAGAACCAUGGAACAUCCCAAGUAGGAAGGGAUCACCAAGACCCAACUCCUGGCUCCGCACAGGACCACCUAAAACUCAGACCCUGUGUCUGAGAGCGUUAUCAAGAUGCUUCAUGAACUCCUGCUGCUCGGUGCUGUGCCCACUGCCCUGGGCAACCUGUUCCAUGCUUCACUGCCCUCUGGUGCAGAACCUAUUCCUGAUACCCAACCUGAACAUGAUGUUUCCUUUGCUUGCUGGUACCAAGUGGCUCUGGAGAGAGUGGAGACUGAGGUAGAUGAAGAUGAGGUAGAUGAUCUGUCCAACCAUACAUUCCUGCUUUAAAAUGUGAUUUUGUAUGGAAGCUUUUGGCCAAGUUGAGUCAGAGCCCAGGUAAGAUGUGACAGCACCAAGUGCUCCUGCACAUCUUAGCCUCACUAUAACUCUGUGAGGUCACACAGCUGUCCACAGGAGGUGACAACCUGCCUCGGCCCCACUAGCUUUGCCCACCCCCUCUCUGCCUAUUGGGUUUCCUGCAGUUUGCUACAUGAGCCACUUCCCCAUCCUUGCUGUGCUGACACAUGUAGAGCCAGGUGGGCUCAGAGGAGUGGGCAGAAGAUGAAAGGAAUCUCUCCAUGCUCUUGCCACAGCUCUCUGGUCAAGGAGGAGAAGCUUCUAGGAGGGUGGCCCCCUGCUUUGGCAGGAGGAGAGAGCCAGCAGCUUGAGCUGAGUUGGUUUUCCAACAAGCAGAUGGAUGUUCAGCAGGAGCCCACGGAAACCUUCUAGCUUCAGGCUAGCUGCGAGCCCUGCAAACCACAGCAUUGUGCUGAUGCAAAGAAAGCAUCGCUCUACUGCUGCUCAGUCUGAAUUACCUCUCUGGGGGGCAGCGUCCAUCCCCUGUGUCUGUGCUCUGCAUCUGGCUGGGCAAGGCCGUGCAAGGAGGGAGGAAGGCAGCAAUGGCAGCCUCUUCCCACAUCUCCACGCCGCGGGGCUCUUGGCGAGCUAGCGCAGUCUGCUCUGCAGGCUCUGAGUGCUCCUGCAGGUGGGAGCCAAUUUGUCUGCAUUCCUGCCCAGGUGCCAUCUGCUGUAGGAUUGCCUGCGCGAGGAUGAGCACGAUGGGGAUGGCAAAGGGGUGGUGGGAGAGAGGAGCCUCAGCUUUCCCUGGAUAACUUCAGCACUUCUUGAAGCCUUCGCGGCGGGGAAGUCGCAGCCUGUCAUUUGCUGUUCCUGGAGUGUGAUGGGGAGCUGAGGCAUUGCUAAUGGCAAGCUAUCAUUUUAAUGCUAAUUUCCCAGCAUUAGAUCAGGACGGGGGAGGCACAGCCUUCGAGGAGGGAAGUCAUUAGCAGAUGGAGAGGGGGGGAUGUGUGAGGCUUGUUCUGCACCCAAGAAUGGACUUCCAGGAGGUGGAUGAUUAACCACCACUGGGAAGAUGGGGAGCAGAUGCUGGGUCAGUCCCUGGUGGCUGUGGGAGGGACGUUUUCUUCCAAGGCUCCUUCCUGCAUGGGUUGCCUGAGUUCCUCAGGCUUUGGGCGAGAUUUGAAGUCUGCAGUUAGUCCUUGGUGCCUGGUGGCUGUGGGGUGCUCAGAGCAGUGGCAGGACUGUGCUGGUGGCGUGGUUGUCCUUUAAUGAAGGAGCCAACUCUUACCAGGAUUGGGUUUAGCUUCUCCUUUUAUGAAAGUUCCCAAAUGUAGAAGCGUGGAUAUCCACAUUCAUAGGUUCAUAUAAUCAUUUGAGUUGGAAGGGACCCUUAAAGGCCAUCUGGCCCAGCUUCUCAGCACAGAACAGGGACACAUACUGCUCCAUCAGGUGCUCAGAGCGCUGUCCAACCUGACCUGGGGUUUCUGCAUUUACGGGGCUUCCACCACUUCUCUGGGCAAUAUUGGUUGAUUUCAAAGAAGAGUAGUUAUGGUCCUGCUGGGCUGGCUGCUGCAAAGCAAUAGUGCUGCCCAGCCUGGUGCUGCUUUCCCAGGUCACCAAUGCCUUGUGCCCAAGCGGGGUACAAAUGCCACCUGGGGCUUGUGGGCUCCCCAUCCCAUCUCUUCUUAUCUCCACAUAUUGGCAGGAGGCAUGUUAAACCCAUGACCCAUUCUCAGUGGUUGCCCAAUGACUCAACGCCAAUUGCAGGAGGUUUGCUUCAUGCACAUGUGGGAUGUGGGUGGAAGGUUCCCUGUUGGUCUCUUGAUGAUUGAGUCUGUGUAAGGGAGUCUGGCUCUGCCUGAGCACAGCUGGAGGUAGGAUCCCACUCCUUGUUCUUGUGCUGGAAUGUUGAGUGGGAAGGAUUUGGUGAGGCACUGGCACAGGCUGCCCAGGGAAGUGAUGGUGUCACUGUCCCUGGAGGUGUUCAAGACCCGUGGAGGUAUAGCACUGAGGGAUGUGGGCAGUGGGCAUAGUGGGGUGGGUUAAUGAUUGGUCUAGAUGAUCUUAGUAGCCUCUCCCAACCUCUAGAAUCCUAAGAACAGACAGACCCCAUGCCUACAGCUACCUCUUGUCAUAAAAACAAGCUCAGCUGCCCCAAACCAUUUAUCUGCCCUUUCCCGAGCUGGAAGUUCUCUCAUACAACCUCAUGGUUCAUCUCCUUGAUCUGUGUUUACCAAAUGGAAAAGCAGUUGUGCUGCUUCCCAGCCUAGUGUAGGUGCCUGGGAGCUCGUGUGAAGUUUGAGGGGAGGUGGGUGGUUGUAGUGGACUGUAGGGCCUGCUUGGGACUGUGUUGGCAGCAGUCAGGAGCUCCUCUGUCAUUUCUAGAUCUGCUUGGAACAUCUCCAGCUAGAUCAGAUAGAUUCGGUCCAGCCUGACCUUGAAUGUCUCCAGGGAUGGGACAUCUUGGGACUAAAGGAAAACAAACUCAGAGGCUGUGCCUGGCUGAGAGGGAGCUGGCUGCCUCCUGGUGAGGGCUGGCAGUGUAUUAAGGCAGGGGCAUAUUUGUCUCCUUGUUCUCAGCAUGGCAGAUCUCCUGAAGACCCACCAGCCUGUGCUGAUUUAGACCAUUAGAUUUAUCAUUUCAAACACGUGUGGGUUUUCAAGACCAUUUAAGAACCAUUCUGGCAUCUGGCAGGGAAGCGAUGGAGGAACAAAACCAGCCAUGAUAAAGGGAAAGAAAACCAGCAACUGGUUAAGAGAGAGGAAGCCAGGAGGAGAGCAUCCUGCCAGGAGGACAUCAGCACAAGUUGCUUUAGCGCAGCAGCAUUGCUCUGUGCUAUUCCCAACUAUCAGAUCUGCCCCAGGGGAGAGCAUGACUCACUGUUUUUAGGGAGCAAUUUGCAGCCGAAGAAUGGCUCCUGUCUUGUCUAGAGCUUCUCCCUGCCUUGGGCACAGAGACAGAGCAAAAGCGAAGAGCUGUUUUAUCCUAGCCCAGGAGAAGCAAACAAGUGGCUAAGCGAGGAAAUCAGCGCCUUAUGUGUGUCCAGGAAUAAUAUAAUCAAGCCGUUUUGGGGGAGAAAAAUAAAAUCAGUAAUGUUGCUUUUCCCAGUUCAUCACUCUGAAUAAUGAGCCUACAAGCUGGCUGGGGAGCUCCCAAGGGACACCUGUGUGCAGGAGAUGGACACAACACGCAUCUUGGAUGGGCCAAUAGCUGGAGUGCUUUCUCUCUCUAAUUUUCUACAUCAGUGAGAACACAGAGCAGCACCAUCCAUCAUCGUCAGAGCCAUCCUGAGAAGGCACCUCCUGCCUCUCCAUCGAGGGACGCUGCACCUCUGUGUCCUGCACGAGGCCGCAGGUGUUGCAACACAUGGUGUUGCAGUAUGUCUGCUUGGAGCAGCCAAGGGUCAGAGAAUCAUUUAGGUUGGAAAAGACUAUGGAGAUCAUCUAUCCCAACCACAACCUGGAGCUCUCUUCCAGGCACGGUCUCCUGCUUGUAUCAACCCUGCUCCAGUGUUGUGCAGCUCUUGCUGGCUUCUGUAGUAGCUGCUUUGUUUACUUCCACAGUGCCUGCCCUUUAGGUAAUGAGCUAUAAUUCAUCCUGCUUUACACAGUGCUCAGAGGUACCUGGAGCAAGAAAGGUGUGCCAUUACAAGCACCUCUCUGGAGCAGAGGUUGCUGAUAUCCCGGAGCUGUACAAUGGGGAGGCAAUGGGGGAGGUGGAAAAGGGGAACAUUUCCCAUCCUCCAGGGUGAAGGUGCAGUCUGGGAGGCAGCAUGCAGGUGCAGAUGGAAGGCAGUGACAGGCAGACAGGGUGCAGGGAUGAAAGAUAGAUAUUUUUUUUCAACCUGCUUUCCUCUCUUUCCCUGCUUUAUAACCUGCUUUUAUAGAGACUGCACGAGGAACACACUUUUUUAUUAGCAGCUUGGGAGUGGAG